UAGAAAGUGGUGUAGUGGAUGCACGGAGAGUUUUGAUCUCUUUAGGUUGGGUUCAAACCCCUUCUUUUUAA
rnacentral:tRNA from 1 species